rnacentral:lncRNA from 1 species
GCAUUUGACAUCGAGAAGUGAUGUUUAUGGAUUUGGGGUUCUUCUCCUUGAGAUGCUCCUUGGGAAAAGGGCAAUGGACAAAAGCAGACCUUGCCGGGAGCAUAACUUGGUCGAGUGGGCAAGACCGCUACUCAAUCACAACAAAAAGCUUUUGAGGAUCAUAGACCCUCGAAUGGAUGGGCAGUACACCACCAAGGCGUUGAUGAAAGUAGCUGAUUUGGCAUACCAAUGCUUAAGCCAAAACCCGAAAGGAAGACCCCUCAUGAGUCAUGUAGUAGAAGUCCUCGAGACUCUCAAGGAGGACGGUAAUGCCCAAGAGGAAGUCAUGGCUAAUCUCCAUAGCAGAGGCAAGUCUGUAACUUUAUAUCAAGCAGCUCCUUGUGAUUCUUCCCAAGGCACAAGAAACGUUGAUGGACAGAGGAGGAGUGGUAGAAGCAAGAGCGAAGCUUCCGUGGAUGUUUCUGCUCUUGUUUCAGACUCGGAUCCGGAAUCUACCAAAGUUUAAGACUCAAAACAAGAAAGAUUCACAAGUGAAUUGAGGAUUUAUGAUCAAGAAAGGUAGCAGAGUUGGGUUAAGUGUAUAAAUAAGCUGAGUCUUCGUUUUGGGGAUCCUUUUUUUCUCUUUUUAAUCUUUUUGGGGAUUACGAAUAUUAGUGCAAUAUGCAAUUUGAUCAACCUUUGAAAUUCAAAUGGAUUUUUGUUUUGAUCAAAGAAAAUGGUAUAUUUGACAAACUGAUUGCAUAACUUGGUAAUGCAUAGCAAUAUUAUAUAGCAUAUGAUAGGAGCACAUGUGUCUCUAUUCUUGUUUUGGUACAUAACAUGAUAAGACGCUGUCAGUUUGGUUGAGCCCAUGGAUCGAUCUGUGAACCUCCUGGAUCUAGCCUUAGGGUUUGAUGAGCCAUCGCCACUAAGAGGGAAGGUAGUGCUGAUCGAGGACUGUGUGGAGACGAGUGGUUCCUUUGUGCUUCACCAGAUGAUGAAGCGUGUUCUCUCCCCUCAUUCCUCUGAUUCCCUUAUCUUUCUCGCCUUUGCUCGCCCUUUCUCUCAUUACGAUCGAGUUCUGCGUAAACUCGUAAUCAUCCACAAUCCUUCUUUUUUUUCUUUUUUCUUUUUAUGUUCAUGGUUCUCAUUGUCUUACCAUGUUGGUCUGACAGGGAUGCAAUCUAGCUACUCAAAAGACAAACAAUCGAUUGGUUUUCGUUGACAUGCUCAUGAUGCAAUGCUCAGGUAAACUGGUGUUCUCCUAGUCAUUCGAGUGUUAGACGUACUUUUAGUUGGACUGUCGAUGUCUGAGAGUGCCUUGGCCUUAGGGAGAAUUAGGACAUCUCUAGAUCUGGCUCCUAACUUUUGGUUAUCUCGAUUGUUUUAUCACCAUUUCUUCUUUGAAAGCGACCACUUAAGCAAAUAUAGUAGCAUAUUGACUCUGCUCCCUGCAAAUCAGAUUUGGAAUAAUAUAAUUUUUUUUUUAACACAGAUAAUGAGAGUGGAGUUGCGAAGCUAUUUCGGGAGAUACAAGGAACAGUUGGAAAGCUACGCAGUGUGACUAAUAGCAACAUAACUGUUAUGGUGGAUGACAUGUCUCUCCUGGAAAUUGCUGCUGCCAAUAGCAAUUCAGAUCACGUCUUGGACUUCCUUCAUUACUGCCACACCUUAACUUCUGAAAGCGUAAGCUUUAUUCUUCUUUACUCUAUUAACCCCUUCUUAAUAACUUUUUUUCUCUACCAACAGAAUUGUUCGGUGGUCACUCUCAAUCACGAAGAUAUAUACUCGAGCAUGGAGAGACCUGCGUAUUUGCUACAGAUGGUAUGCCUUGCGGAUAUUGUGAUAAAAGCAGAGCCUUUAGCCUCAGGUUUAGCAAAUGACGUACAUGGCCAAGUAAAUCUCUCCUCCUCCUCCUUUUCUUUGGAAUCAUUAGAAACUAAUCUUUUGUGUUUGGCGUAAUACUAAUACAGCUGACAGUUGUGAACAAGGGGAUGAUAAGCAGCAAGUCGGGAAAAGGAAGCUCGAGGAACAAGUUGCAGAAUUUUCAAUUCAGGAUCAAGGAAAAUGGUAUUGAGUAUUUCUACCCUGGUUGCAGCAGAAACUGAGAGGAUUUGGAGAUAGUUUUUGACGGUUAUAAAUGUUGUAUGUUAGUGAGAUAUGCAGCUAAGACACGUGUGUGUGUGUGUGCGCUUUGGCAUAUGGAUGAGGAUUCUUUGACGGUUAUAAACUGAGGAUUCUUUGACUUGGUCGAAACACUGUUUUUCUUCUUUAAAAUUGGUUUAAACGGGCUUUAUUCUACAAAGUAUUGUUUCGUAGUAUUUUAUCCGGGUCGGGUUUAGUGUAACCGGAUCCUAAAUUCGUAACGAAAGAGAGAAGUCUCAUUCGUUUUCAACACCGACCAUUGGAGGGGGUCUAAUGUAUGGCUGGGACCUGUUUGGUGACGUGGAGAAAUAUAAUUGGUUAAAAAGUAAAUAAGAGUUAAGAGGGUUGGCUCUUCUGAUUUGGCGGCUAGUCUCUGAAAUUCCAUCGAUUCCAACGGAUCAUUCUCUCUCUCUCUACAAUUAUUCUUCCUUCCUUUUAUCUUUUUUGUUUUUCAUAUCUCUCUCUCUGCCUGACUCCGAGAAACCAUCAUCUCCAUUUUGUUUUUUUUUUAAGUAGCCAAGUUUCUCGGAGAUCGGGGCUUUUCUUCUCCUUGAUCCGUCUCAGAUUUCUUGCUUAAUAUGGAGAAUGUAAUCGAAUAAAAUAAAUAGCCUUUUUUAACCUCUAGGAGUUUCAUGGGGAUUUGCUUUAGCGCUCAAGGGCAGUUCCAAUUCUCUCAAAACCAAAACUCCUCUCAGAAGAAGACACCAGGACCAGGUAUCUCAAUCUUAUCACAUCGGAUUCGGAUCUCCUUUAAAAAAAACAAAUUGAAUUUUGCAGUGUAUCUAAUGAAUACGGAUUGUAAAGAGUCGUCGUCGUCGGUGGGUGGGAAACCGAGUCCAAGCGGUUUGCCUUUGCCUCCGAAAAACAUCAAAGAUCUGCAGUCCAAUCCUGGUUACGAGAACGUCGACAUCUUCACCUACGAGGAGAUGAAGUUAGCCACCAAGCAGUUCAGGCCUGAUUUCAUCCUCGGCGAGGGUGGUUUCGGCGUCGUCUACAAAGGUCUCGUUGAUGAGACCGUGCGGCCUGGUUACAACUCCACCAAAGUUGCUAUCAAAGAACUUAAUCCAGAGGGCUUUCAGGGAGAUCGCGAGUGGCUGGUAUAUAUGUGUAAUUGUGCUAUGUAUCUAGAGAGAGUUAUGUUUUUUCAAAGUGUUUGAUUUUUGUUGUUGUAGGCUGAAGUUAACUAUUUAGGACAGCUUAGUCAUCCCAACUUGGUCAAGCUUAUUGGCUACUGCUGUGAAGAUGACCACAGGUUGUUAGUCUAUGAAUACAUGUCAUUGGGAAGCCUCGAGAAACAUCUCUUUCGAAGUAUGUUUCUGUUUUCCUCCUUUGUUUGUUUGUGAUUUAAGUCUUUAUAUAAUAUGAAAUGUUUCUUUCUCUUGGCAGGAGUUGGUUGCACUUUGACAUGGUCCAAACGAGUGAAGAUCGCUCUACACGCAGCCAAGGGUCUCGCCUUUCUUCAUGGUGCUGAACGCUCCGUCAUCUAUCGAGAUCUCAAGACUGCCAACAUAUUGCUCGACGAGGUCUGCUCUGUUUUCAGAUUUUAGAAUUGUUAGUGAAGUUACUACAGUCUUGUUUCGAUUUGUCUGUCUAUGCUGCCCCCCCUCCUGAAAGGUGUAAUGCUUGUGCAGUGUUACAAUGCUAAACUCGCUGACUUUGGACUAGCCAAAGAUGGCCCCAGCGGAGAUCAAACGCAUGUGUCAACACGUGUUAUGGGCACUUACGGAUACGCUGCUCCUGAGUAUGUUAUGACAGGUCUGUCUGUCUUUGCUAAUUUUCCAUUCCCACUUUUCAUAGCUGUUUUUAAAAUGACUCUAUUUGUUGUUGUAAUUAGGGCAUUUGACAUCGAGAAGUGAUGUUUAUGGAUUUGGGGUUCUUCUCCUUGAGAUGCUCCUUGGGAAAAGGGCAAUGGACAAAAGCAGACCUUGCCGGGAGCAUAACUUGGUCGAGUGGGCAAGACCGCUACUCAAUCACAACAAAAAGCUUUUGAGGAUCAUAGAUCCUCGAAUGGAUGGGCAGUACACCACCAAGGCGUUGAUGAAAGUAGCUGAUUUGGCAUACCAAUGC